rnacentral:rRNA from 1 species
UGAGUAACACGUGAGUAACCUGCCCUUGACUCUGGGAUAAGCCUGGGAAACUGGGUCUAAUACCGGAUAUGACCUUCCAUCGCAUGGUGGUUGGUGGAAAGCUUUUGUGGUUUUGGAUGGACUCGCGGCCUAUCAGCUUGUUGGUGGGGUAAUGGCCUACCAAGGCGACGACGGGUAGCCGGCCUGAGAGGGUGACCGGCCACACUGGGACUGAGACACGGCCCAGACUCCUACGGGAGGCAGCAGUGGGGAAUAUUGCACAAUGGGCGGAAGCCUGAUGCAGCGACGCCGCGUGAGGGAUGACGGCCUUCGGGUUGUAAACCUCUUUCAGUAGGGAAGAAGCGUAAGUGACGGUACCUGCAGAAGAAGCGCCGGCUAACUACGUGCCAGCAGCCGCGGUAAUACGUAGGGCGCAAGCGUUAUCCGGAAUUAUUGGGCGUAAAGAG